rnacentral:lncRNA from 1 species
ACAGAAUGGAGUAUUGUUGCCACCAGCUUGCUCCCCAAUCUCUUUUUUGUGAUGACAGCGUGGCUUUCAGAUCUUCACUAAUAGGAAGCGGCAUCAAAAUCUUUCUCAUUUGCUUGUCAGCAACUCGAUCCUCAUAGGCCUCCACCAGGUACUAUUUCAUUAUUUGUUGCAGCAGUCAGUAAUUUGUAGGGUUUAAUUCGCCAAAAGACUAAUUAGAAAAGGCAAAAUCAUACUGCCUCCAUCAGCUAAUCUUUCUUUACUUUUUCUUCCUGAGGUUUUUUUACUUCCAAUGCUGGACAAUGUACCAGAAUUUUGUAUGGUUGGAUCACUAAUCGUUAGAAUCUUCAGCAUAAUUAUGAAAAAGAGUAUGAAUUUGGAUGUCAGCAAAAAGCUUGUUUUCUCCAAUUACUAAUACAGAGUGGUAAUGGUUCUUGGAACUGAAUACAUUUUAGGGUAAAAGAAGAAGUUUUUACCUCAUGCACAUCUUCUGGAGAUGGUUUGCCAUUUCUUGUAUUGCUUUCCGAUUCUUUUGACUGAACUUUAGACUCCAAUACUGAUGGUACCGUGACAUCAUUUAUGUUGCCACUUGCAAGAUCAAGCAGGAAUUCUGCUGGAUUCAUAGCAAUGAGAGGAGAACAUCCAAUAGAUGAGAAGUAUUUUAUAGCUUUCGAUGCUUUCCCAAAGUACAGCAAACUGCCCUUUCCAAGAAGUAUCAGUUUAUCAAAUCUAUGGAAGAGUCUGCUAGAUGGUUGAUGAAUUGUAGUCACCACAGUUUUCCCCAACUGCAUAGGUUCAAGAGAGACUUGUAGUCACCACAAUUUAUCAUAUACAUGAAUAUAUACACACACACACACACACUCUCUCUCUCUCUCUUAACUAAAAUUUUAUCUGAGCUACAUGAUUUGAGUAAUACAGUAAAGGUUACCAGUAUAAAAUCAACAUCAUGAUGAUUGAUACCUUAGCUAUACCAUGCAAAACUUGUAUUAUUCUUAGGGCUGUUGUUGAAUCAAGGCCAGAUGUGGGCUCAUCAAGAAACAGUAAAGAUGGGUUGAUUAUGAUCUCAUUUCCAAUGCACACCCUUUUCCUCUCACCACCUGAAACUCCUCUUACAAAAGGUCCUCCAAUGAUAGUAUUUUGGCACCUGCAGAAUGUUAUCAAAUUUGAGAACAAGAUCGAUUAGAUCUUCGAAAAUUCAGGCAAGUUUCCUUAUAAGAUUGGAAGUUGAAGAGCAAGUCCACUAUAGAGAUCUUUGCUCAUAUUAGGCAACUUUGAGUUAGAAUGAAGAACUCAAAUAACCAAAAAGCUACCUUUCAAGCCCCAGCUCGUAGAUGGCAUCCAUGGCCCUGUCUUCCUUCUGUUCUCUAGUCAUUGUCCUUGGGAGUCGAAGGAGAGCUGCAUAUGUUAAUGUUUCUCUCACAGUGAGAUGUGCAAAUAGAACAUCAUCCUGUGCCACGAAUCCCAUCCUGAAAAUUGACAUCAGACUUAUAGCAAUUUACCAAACUGUAAGUGCACAUGAUUCUAUUACAAGAGUGAUGACAUCUUGUUCUACACUAAGAAAUGAGAGUAGUUGAUAAUCUAUUACAAGAGUGAUGACAUCUUGUUCUACACUAAGAAAUGAACACAUGAAUUUGCUGCUGCCAUGCACAGUUCUAUCUUCACUAUCAAGUCAGCUUGUGCCAAAGCUUAACUUCUAGUUGGCUGGACUCUGGAAACAGAUUCCUAUACAUUUAGCCUCUGAUACUGCUGACGCAGGUCCUUUCCUAUGUAUGUGUUGUUAUAUAUCUAUGAGAUUGGAAUUGCUAAACAGAAUACAAUUUGAACUUGAUCAUUUACCUGCCCUUUAGAGAUUUGGUAUAUGGUUCAUCAUUAUAUGUGACAGAUCCUUGAAUGAUAUUAGCCGUAAUUCUUCCACCGAGAAGGCUAAGAAGUGUGGUUUUGCCACUGCCAGAAGGCCCCAUCAGGGCUAAAAGUUCUCCAGGUCUCACUGAACCUGUAAUUCCAUGGAGAAUUUCCUUCUCUGUAGUAGUUGUUAUUCCUUUGAGUACUACACUGUAUCUAACCUCUGUAAACUGCAAAUUUGACAAAAGGAGAUGUCAAUCAGGAUGCUCUAUGAUGUGGUUGCUAUAGAUCAGCCCUCUGUAUAUUAGUUUAGAAUUCAGAUUUACGACUCAGUGCCUCUGAGAAAGAUAUUUGAAGAAUAGCCUUGUGUUUAUGUUCCUUUACAAAGAUUCAGCAAGUAUUAGAGGGCAACUCCAGCACAAUGAUACCUUCAAAUAUAUCGGCAAAGUUGGCUCUGACAUCAGACUUUUCCUUGUUUCUUGAAUCUCCAGAUCAAUUUCUGCAGGGUAGUAAAUGAACAACAUGCAGAGUUAGACACAUCAGGCCACUUUGUACUUGUUACAAUAUUUUCAUAACAAAUGAUCUGUCCCCGGAUUGGCAUCUACUUAUGACUGCAAUGUUUUUGCGUUCGAUUAUAUCAUUUAACGGGAAUUUGCUUCAACUACAAUCAUAGUUUUACAUGCUUUAAAUAUAUGUCUUGGUUUCUACAAGAUUCAGAAACUAUGCACACACCACUGUAUAUUAUCUUUGAAUGAUCAUGUUGUUCUGAUUAUACAGCGUUACCAUUCUCAUUGUUGCCGAAAGCCGCGGUAUCAGAAACUUCAGGGAGCGCGGUGAAGCCGGUAAAGGAGUAGGAGAAGCUCAAGCUUGCACUGGAGGCGCGGCUCAGACUUGCCUCACUGCCAACAUCUUCAGAAUCCAUCUUCAUGUGUCCACUCCAUGUCUUUCUGAGGUGGUGCCCUCCUUUGAAAGACCCCAUCAACUUCUUUCCAAAGCUCAACUUUCUUGACAAGCUCGGACUGCCAUUAACAGCACUGGUUGGCACAACUUCAGUAGAGCUCAUAGUAGGUCCUCUUGUUGCUCCCAUCUCCAGCUUGUCCGACUUGGCCAUGGCAAU